GCGCCCUUAGCUCAGUUGGAUAGAGCAACGACCUUCUAAGUCGUGGGCCGCAGGUUCGAAUCCCGCAGGGCGCGCCA
rnacentral:tRNA from 1 species